rnacentral:lncRNA from 1 species
GUUUGUGGUAUUUAUUUCAGUUGUUUAACUUAUUUGUGAACUCUGAACACAAAAAAAAGUAGAUAAAAACAUAAAAAGAGUGCAAAAUGGGCUGUUUUAAUAGUCUAAGUCUAACGGUCAGUAUACGCAGCAGGUGAAAUGUGAAGUUCUAUGCACUUAAAAGUUGUAUUCCUAAACAGAUUGCACUGAAUCUAUAUAAAAAACACUUAUUACUGGUUGCUUAACCAUUUCUGUUUCACAGAUUACCUUUACUUUCUUCUUUUGGAUAGCUAGUGGUUAAAAUAUUGGCCUUUUGAGGCUGAAAUUUCAUUCAGGUUUUAAACAGUAAAGUUAAUAAACUUUGCAUCAGACCAUACUGUCUACAUAUAUAGUUGAAAGUGACAGUCUUGUUACAUCCAGGCUCCAUGUUUUAUCAUAUCUAAGCACAGAUUUAAGCAAAAAGAAGCAUAUCUCCAUCUCCCAUAUCAUUUAUAUGCUUUUUAAAUAUGCAAAUGUGGGGAACGGCCUAAAUUGACAACCUGUUUUUUUAAGCAUGACAUUGCUAAAGACCAUUUUAUCCACAUGUGUUAUGCUAUUUGAAACUUAUAUUUCCAUUAAAAGUACAUUUAUAACAUGUUAAAGUUUUUUUGAUACCUUAACAACUUCAGAAAAUUGUG